GGUUACUUUAAGAGCAGAUGGUGGAUGCCUUGGGAUAUUGAGGCGACGAAGGACGUAGCGUAGCUGCGAUAAGCUUCGGGGAGGUGCGUAGCAACCUUUGAUCCGGAGAUUUCCGAAUGGGAGUACCCGUUUCGGACUAACCCGAAACAGCCUCUUUUAGAGGCGGCGAACCCGCUGAAGUGAAACAUCUCAGUAAGCGGAGGAAGAGAAAUCGUAAGAGAACCCCCUAGUAGCGGCGAGCGAAAAGGGGCAUGUCUAAACUUUUAGCAGAGCUUAGCUCAGCUGAGAGGGUUGUAGGGAGUACCAUUAAGGGAUGGCGGCUGUUAGCCGAACCGUUCUGGAAAGUGUGGGCCACAGAGGGUGAUAGCCCCGUAGGCGAAAACGGCCAAAUUCCUGGUUCUUACCUGAGUACCGUUGGGACAGAAAACCCAGCGGGAAUCAUCCCGAACUGCCGGGAAAGACUAAAUACUCAAUAUCACCGAUAGUGAACUAGUACCGUGAGGGAAAGGUGAAAAGCAGCCCGAUGAGGGCGUUGAAAUAGACCUGAAACCAUCAUGCUCACAAGGACUCGGAGCAGCUUUCGAGCUGUGACGGGGUGCUUUUUGCAGAACGAGCCAACGAGUUUAUUUAAGUCGCAAGUUUAAUCGGGGUCUCCCCGAGAAGCGUAGUGAAAGCGAGGGUUAAUAGCCCGCCUAGCGGCUUGAGUAAGACCCGAAGCCAGGCGAUCCUGCCAUGGCCAGGAUGAAGCGCGUGGAAGCAUGCGUGGAGGUCCGAACCCGUGAGUGUAGCAAAACUCUGGGAUGAGCUGUGGCAAGCGGUGAAAAGUCAAUCGAGCCUGGGAAUAGCUGGUUCUUCUCGAAAUAGCUUUAGGGCUAGCGUCCGAUGCUUCGUCCGGGAGGUAGAGCACUGGAUAGACUUGGUUGGGUUCGUCCCGCCCUGUUUAACCAAACUCCGAAUUCCUGGUGCGUUUGAGUCGGGCAGUCAGUCUGUGGGCGCUAAGGUCCAUGGACAAGAGGGAAACAACCCAGACCAUCGUCUAAGGUCCCUAAAUUAGACUAAGUGCAUUAAGGAAGUGGAAUUUCUCAGAUACCUGGAAGGUUUGCUUAGAAGCAGCAAUCCUUUAAAAAGUGCGUAAUAGCUUACCAGCUCAGAAAUUCCGCGCCGAAGAUUUACGGGCCUAAGUCUAAUACCGAAGACAUGGAAUUAACUCUUUUGAGUUAGUUGGUAGAGGAGCGUUCUUCCAGCGUCGAAGUCGUAGCGAAAGCUACGGUGGAGCGGGGAGAAGUGAGAAUGUUGGCACGAGUAACCGCAACUCAGGUGAAAGCCCUGAGCACCGAAAACCUAAGGUUUCCUUGGCAAUGGCAAUCAUCCAAGGGUUAGGCGGGCCUAAGGUCAACCCGAAAGGGGUAGCCGAUGGACAGCUGGUUAAUACUCCAGCCCGCCUGUCGGGUAGUGCUGAGAUGACGAAGAGUAGUAACCGGAUCCCAUUACUGGAUUUGGGUCGGCGGGCUAAGGAGCAAUCCAAGGUCAACCGAAAUUCUUCCUCUUGGGGAAGAAAAUUCCGGCCAGCACUCUUCCCGGAAAAGUUUCAGUAACGUUCCCGUCAGGCUCCGUACCGCAAACCGACACAGGUAGGUAGGCAUAAAAGUGCUAAGGUGAACGGGUAAAAUCUCGUUAAGGAACUCGGCAAAACAGUGUCCGUAAGUUUGCAAUAAGGACUCCCCAGGCUUGCCUGGGGCGCAGCGAACGAUUCUCUGGCGACUGUUUAUCAAAAACACAGGUCUCUGCUAACUCGUAAGAGGAUGUAUAGAGGCUGACGCCUGACCAGUGCCGUAAGGUUAACCUUGGCGGUCUGAAUCUUUGGAUUCGGGCUGACUGAGCGAAGCCCCGGUAAACGUCCGCGGUAACUCUGACCGUGUUAAAGUAGCGUAAUCCCUUGCCUGGUAAGUUCAGGCCCGCAUGAAAGGCGUAACGACCGGAGAACUGUCUCAACGAGAUGCCCGGUGAAAAUGCAGUACCGGUGAAGAUGCCGGUUACCUGCGGCUAGACGGAAAGACCCCGGGAGCUUUACUAUAACCAGAUAUUGACCUAGGGUUAUAAUUGCGUAGCGUAGGUGGGAGACUUUGAAACCUGACUUUCGGGUUGGGUGGAGUCGCCAAUGAAACACCACCCUGUUAUGGUCUUAGUUCUAACCGAGCCGCCUCAAAAACGGCCGGGACAUUGUUUGGGGGUUAGUUUGAGUGGGGCGCUCGCCUCCUAAAUGGUAACGGAGGCGCCUUAAGGUCAGCUAGCUUCGGAUGGAAAUCGAAGCGAUAGGGCAAAGCCAUAAGCUGGCUUUACUGCAAGGCGGCUAUGCCGCGCAGUCUCGAAAGAGGAGCUUAGUGAACCGACCGUAAUUCGUAGAACUACGGAAGAUCAUCAGAUAAAAGCUACCCCGGGGAUAACAGGUUAGUAGGGCCCACGAGUCCAUAUCUACGGCCCUGUUCGACACCUCGAUGUCGGCUCAAGAUAUCCUGGAGCUGGAGAAGGUUCCAAGGGUUCGGCUGUUCGCCGAUUAAAAUCUUACGCGAGCUGGGUUCAGACCGUCGUGAGACAGGUCGGUCCCUAUCUACCGCAGGCGCUAAAUCUUGAGGAGAGUCGUUCCUAGUACGAGAGGACCGGAAUGAACUGACCUCUGGUGUACCAGUUGUUCCGCCAGGAGCAUUGCUGGGUAGCUAUGUCGGGAAGGGAUAAGCACUGAAAGCAUCUAAAGUGCGAAGCCCACUCCAAGAUUAGGAUUUAUAGAUCCCCGGAAGACGACCGGGUUGAUAGGCUUCAGGUGUAAGUGCCGUAAGGCAUUAAGCCGAGAAGUACUAAUGAUCUUAAACCUUCUUUU
rnacentral:rRNA from 1 species